UACGUAGGGGCUAGCGUUGUCCGGAAUCAUUGGGCGUAAAGAGCGCGUAGGCGGCCCGGUAGGUCCGUUGUGAAACUCGAGGCUCAACCUCGAGACGCCGAUGGAAACCAUCUAACUAGAGUCCGGAAGAGGAGAGUGGAAUUCCUGGUGUAGCGGUGAAAUGCGCAGAUAUCAGGAAGAACACCCGUGGCUAAGGCGGCUCUCUAGUACGGUACUGACGCUGAGACGCGAAAGCGUGGGGAGCGAACAGG
rnacentral:rRNA from 1 species